GACGAACGCUGGCGGCGUGCCUAAUACAUGCAAGUCGAGCGAAGUUUUUCUGGUGCUUGCACCGGAAAAACUUAGCGGCGAACGGGUGAGUAACACGUAAAGAACCUGCCUCAUAGACUGGGACAACUAUUGGAAACGAUAGCUAAUACCGGAUAACAGCAUUAACUGCAUGGUUGAUGUUUAAAAGUUGGUUUUGCUAACACUAUGAGAUGGCUUUGCGGUGCAUUAGCUAGUUGGUGGGGUAAAGGCCUACCAAGGCGACGAUGCAUAGCCGACCUGAGAGGGUGAUCGGCCACACUGGGACUGAGAAACGGCCCAGACUCCUACGGGAGGCAGCAGUAGGGAAUCUUCCGCAAUGGGCGAAAGCCUGACGGAGCAACGCCGCGUGAGUGAAGAAGGAUUUCGGUUCGUAAAGCUCUGUUGUUAGGGAAGAAUGAUUGUGUAGUAACUAUACACAGUAGAGACGGUACCUAACCAGAAAGCCACGGCUAACUACGUG
rnacentral:rRNA from 1 species